ACAGUACUUCCUCCCUCACAAAAUUCUUGUCUUAAAUUUAUAUAGAUAUAAAUGUAUUUAGUCACAUUUUAGUAUUUAGAUACGUUUAUUUUUAGACAAACAUAACACAAGAAUUUUGAGGAAGUACUCU
rnacentral:pre_miRNA from 1 species